rnacentral:rRNA from 1 species
UCAAAAACAUGUCUUUUUGAUAAUAAUUUAAAGUCUCAUCUGCCCACUGAUAUAAAUAUUAAAGGGCUGCAGUAUAUUGACUGUACAAAGGUAGCAUAAUCAUUAGUCUUUUAAUUGAAGACUUGUAUGAAAGAUUUGAUGAAAUAUAAUCUGUCUCUAUUUUAUAAAUAGAAAUUAAUUUUUUAGUUAAAAAGCUAAAAUAAUAUUAAAAGACGAGAAGACCCUAUAAAGUUUUAUAAUUUAUUCAUUUUUUAUUAAUUAUGAAAAUAAAUAUAAUAAUUAAGUAAAUUAUUUUAUUGGGGUGAUAGAAAAAUUAAAUAAACUUUUUUUAAAAUAAAACAUAAAUAAGUGAAAUAUUGAUCCAUUAAUAAUGAUUAGAAGAAAAAAUUACUUUAGGGAUAACAGCGUAAUAUUUUUUUUUAGUACGAAUAAAAAAAAAAGUUUGCGACCUCGAUGUUGGAUUAAGAUAAAAUUUAAAUGCAAAAGUUUAAAAUUUUGAUCUGUUCGAUCAUUAAAAUCUUACAUGAUCUGAGCU